rnacentral:tRNA from 1 species
GUUAUUGUAGCUUAAAUACAAAAGCACAGCACUGAAAAUGCUGAGAUGGAUUUUUAUUACUUCCCAAAAACA